rnacentral:rRNA from 1 species
AUACGUAGGGUGCAAGCGUUAAUCGGAAUUACUGGGCGUAAAGCGUGCGCAGGCGGUUUUGUAAGACAGUGGUGAAAUCCCCGGGCUCAACCUGGGAACUGCCAUUGUGACUGCAAGGCUGGAGUGCGGCAGAGGGGGAUGGAAUUCCGCGUGUAGCAGUGAAAUGCGUAGAUAUGCGGUGGAACACCGAUGGCGAAGGCAAUCCCCUGGGCCUGCGAUGACUCUCAUGCACGAAAGCGUUGGGAGCAAACAGGAUUAUAUACCCUGGUAGUCCACGCCCUAAACGGUGUCAACUGGUUGUUGGGGAUUUAUUUCCUCAGUAACGAAGCUAACGCGUGAAGUUGACCGCCUGGGGAGUACGGCCGCAAGGUUGAAACUCAAAUGAAUUGACGGGG